UACAGAGGGUGCGAGCGUUGUUCGGAAUUAUUGGGCGUAAAGGGCGCGUAGGCGGUGCGGUAAGUCACCUGUGAAAUCUCCUGGCUCAACUGGGAGCUUGCAGGCGAAACUGCCGUGCUGGAGUGUGGGAGAGGUGCGUGGAAUUCCCGGUGUAGCGGUGAAAUGCGUAGAUAUCGGGGGGAACACCUGUGGCGAAAGCGGCGCACUGGACCACAACUGACGCUGAGGCGCGAAAGCUAGGGGAGCAAACAGG
rnacentral:rRNA from 1 species